CUACGGGGGGCUGCAGUGGGGAAUAUUGCACAAUGGGCGCAAGCCUGAUGCAGCAACGCCGCGUGGGGGACGACGGCCUUCGGGUUGUAAACCUCUUUUAGUAGGGAAGAAGCGCAAGUGACGGUACCUACAGAAAAAGCACCGGCUAACUACGUGCCAGCAGCCGCGGUAAUACGUAGGGUGCAAGCGUUGUCCGGAAUUAUUGGGCGUAAAGAGCUCGUAGGCGGUUUGUCGCGUCUGCUGUGAAAAUCUGAGGCUCAACCUCGGACCUGCAGUGGGUACGGGCAAACUAGAGUGCGGUAGGGGAGAUUGGAAUUCCUGGUGUAGCGGUGGAAUGCGCAGAUAUCAGGAGGAACACCAAUGGCGAAGGCAGAUCUCUGGGCCGUAACUGACGCUGAGGAGCGAAAGCGUGGGGAGCGAACAGGAUUAGAUACCCCAGUAGUC
rnacentral:rRNA from 1 species